rnacentral:rRNA from 1 species
UCGCCUGUUUUACAAAAACAUGUCUUUUGGGGUUAUAAUUAAAAGUCGGGCCUGCCCAGUGAUUUAUUAUAUUAAAUGGCCGCGGUAUUUUGACCGUGCUAAGGUAGCAUAAUCAUUAGUUUCUUAAUUAGAAGCUGGAAUGAAAGGUUUGAUGAAAAAACUACUGUCUCGAUUUUAUAUUUUUGAAUUUUAUUUUUAAGUAAAAAAGCUUAAAUUUAAAUAAAAGACGAGAAGACCCUAUAGAGUUUAAUAUUUGAAGUAUUAUAAUUUUUAAAUUAUAGAAUUAAUUUUUUAUUACGGGAAAAUAUUUGGUUGGGGUGAUUUAAAAAUUAAAUUAACUUUUUUUUAAUAUAAACAUUAAUUUAUGAGUUUUAAUGAUCCUAAAGUUUAUUUAGAUUAAAAGAAAAAAUUACCUUAGGGAUAACAGCGUUAUUUUUUCUGAGAGUUCUAAUCGAAGAAAAAGUUUGCGACCNCGAUGUUGGAUUAAAAAA